CGAGGCGGCCGGACGGUCGCGUGCCACGACGGGGAGACCCGAGACCGGCACGAGGAAAGUCCGAGCUCCGCGACGCAGGGUAGCGGGUAACUCCCGUCCGCCGUGAGGCGAGGACCAGCGCCACAGAGACGAGCCGGCAGGUCGACCUCGGUCGGCCGGGCCGGGUGAAACGGGGCAAGCUCUACCCGGAGCAAGGCCAAAUAGGAGGGUGGUCCGGGGCUCGUCCCCGGCGACAGGCGGCGUCGCCUGACCCUCGGGUCGGCCGCUCGAGGCCGUGGGUGACCGCGGCCCUAGAUGGAUGACCGUCGCCGCUUCGGCGGUACAGGACUCGGCUUACAGGCCGCUCUCGCUGA
rnacentral:RNase_P_RNA from 1 species